UACGUAGGCAGCGAGCGUUGUUCGGAGUUACUGGGCGUAAAGGGUGUGUAGGCGGUCCUCUAAGUUUGGUGUGAAAUCUCCCGGCUCAACCGGGAGGGUGCGCCGAAAACUGGGGGACUAGAGUGCGGGAUGGGAAAGUGGAAUUCCUGGUGUAGCGGUGAAAUGCGUAGAUAUCAGGAGGAACACCGGUGGUGUAGACGGCUU
rnacentral:rRNA from 1 species